GGAGAGGUGCGAGAGUGGACGAAUCGACGUGCUUGGAAAGCACGCGUGCUGGCAACGGCACCGUGGGUUCGAAUCCCACCCUCUCCGCCG
rnacentral:tRNA from 1 species